UUAUGGCUCAGAAUCAACGCGGGCGGCGUGCCUAACACAUGCAAGUCGAACGAGAAAGUGGGGGCAACCCUGCGAGUACAGUGGCAGACGGGUGAGUAACACGUGAACAACCUACCCUUGAGUGGGGAAUAACACCGCGAAAGCGGUGCUAAUACCGCAUAACAUCUUUGGGUUGCAUGACCUGGAGAUCAAAAGCGCAAGUUGCUUGAGGAGGGGUUCGCGGCUGAUUAGCUAGUUGGUGAGGUAACGGCCCACCAAGGCAACGAUCAGUAGCCGGCCUGAGAGGGCGGACGGCCACACUGGAACUGAGACACGGUCCAGACUCCUACGGGAGGCAGCAGUGGGGAAUUUUGCGCAAUGGACGAAAGUCUGACGCAGCAACGCCGCGUGGAGGAUGAAGGCCUUCGGGUCGUAAACUCCUGUCGAUGGGGACGAAGGCCUCGCGAGAGGUUUGACUGUACCCGUUGAGGAAGCCACGGCUAACUCCGUGCCAGCAGCCGCGGUAAUACGGAGGUGGCAAGCGUUGUUCGGAAUUACUGGGCGUAAAGGGCGCGUAGGCGGCGGAACAAGUCAGAUGUGAAAGCCCCGGGCUUAACUCGGGAAUUGCAUCUGAAACUGUUUAGCUUGAGUUCUGGAGGGGAUGGUGGAAUUCCCAGUGUAGCGGUGAAAUGCGUAGAUAUUGGGAGGAACACCUGCGGCGAAGGCGGCCAUCUGGACAGAGACUGACGCUGAGGCGCGAAAGCUAGGGGAGCGAACGGGAUUAGAUACCCCGGUAGUCCUAGCCGUAAACGAUGGGCACUUGGUGUUGGGGGUAUUGAGUCCCUCGGUGCCGGAGCUAACGCGAUAAGUGCCCCGCCUGGGGAGUACGGUCGCAAGACUGAAACUCAAAU
rnacentral:rRNA from 1 species